GACGAACGCUGGCGGCGCGCCUAACACAUGCAAGUCGAACGGGGUAAAGAGCUUCGGUUUUUUACUUAGUGGCGAACGGGUGAGUAACGCGUGAGGAACCUGCCUUUCAGUGGGGGACAACAGCUGGAAACGACUGCUAAUACCGCAUAAUGCAUUUAGGGGGCAUCCCCUGAAUGCCAAAGCUUUAUGUGCUGAAAGAUGGUCUCGCGUCUGAUUAGCUAGUUGGUGGGGUAACGGCCCACCAAGGCGACGAUCAGUAGCCGGUCUGAGGGGAUGAACGGCCACAUUGGGACUGAGACACAGCCCAA
rnacentral:rRNA from 1 species